GACGAACCGUGCGAACGUUAUUCGGAAUCACUGGGCUUAAAGCGCGUGUAGGCGGGUGACCGCGUCGGUCGCUGAAAGCCCCCGGCUCAACCGGGGAAGCGGCGCCGAAACGGGUCGCCUGGAGGGGAGUAGGGGGACCUGGAACUUCCGGUGGAGCGGUGAAAUGCGUUGAGAUCGGAAGGAACGCCCGUGGCGAAAGCGAGGUCCUGGGCUCUCACUGACGCUGAGACGCGAAAGCCAGGGGAGCGAACGGG
rnacentral:rRNA from 1 species